rnacentral:rRNA from 1 species
AGUGAACGCUGGCGGUAGGCCUAACACAUGCAAGUCGAACGGCAGCACAGUAAGAGCUUGCUCUUACGGGUGGCGAGUGGCGGACGGGUGAGGAAUACAUCGGAAUCUACUUUUUCGUGGGGGAUAACGUAGGGAAACUUACGCUAAUACCGCAUACGACCUACGGGUGAAAGCAGGGGAUCUUCGGACCUUGCGCGAUUGAAUGAGCCGAUGUCGGAUUAGCUAGUUGGCGGGGUAAAGGCCCACCAAGGCGACGAUCCGUAGCUGGUCUGAGAGGCUGAUCCGCCACACUGGAACUGAGACACGGUCCAGGCUCCUACGGGAGGCAGCAGUGGGGACUAUUGGACAAUGGGCGCAAGCCUGAUCCAGCCAUACCGCGUGGGUGAAGAAGGCCUUCGGGUUGUAAAGCCCUUUUGUUGGGAAAGAAAAGCAGCAGGUUAAUACCCCGCUGUUCUGACGGUACCCAAAGAAUAAGCACCGGCUAACUUCGUG